rnacentral:rRNA from 1 species
GAUGAACGCUGGCGGCGUGCCUAAUACAUGCAAGUCGAGCGAACAGACGAGGAGCUUGCUCCUCUGACGUUAGCGGCGGACGGGUGAGUAACACGUGGAUAACCUACCUAUAAGACUGGGAUAACUUCGGGAAACCGGAGCUAAUACCGGAUAAUAUAUUGAACCGCAUGGUUCAAUAGUGAAAGACGGUUUUGCUGUCACUUAUAGAUGGAUCCGCGCCGCAUUAGCUAGUUGGUAAGGUAACGGCUUACCAAGGCAACGAUGCGUAGCCGAACUGAGAGGGUGGUCGGCCACACGGGAACUGAGACACGGACCAGACUCCUACGGGAGGCAGCAGUAGGGAAUCUUACGCAAUGGGCGAAAGCUUGACGGAGCAACGCCGCGUGAGAGAUGAAGGUCUUCGGAUCGUAAAACUCUGUUAUUAGGGAAGAACAAAUGUGUAAGUAACUAUGCACGUCUUGACGGUACCGAAUCAGAAAGCCACGGCUAACUACGUG